AUGCAAUGCAGGUGGAAGUGUCUUAAAAAAGAGGACAAGGAGAGUGUUUGGAGACAGAGAUGGAGAAUCUCAAAGAGAAAUCCCAACCCGGGAUCCCUGGGUGGCGCAGCGGUUUGGCGCCUGCCUUUGGCCCGGGGCGUGAUUCUGGAGACCCGGGAUCGAAUUCCACAUCGGGCUCCCUGCAUGGAGCCUGCUUCUCCCUCUGCCUGUGUCUCUGCCUCUCUGUCUCUCUCUGUGUGACUAUCAUGAAUAAAUAAAUAAAAUCUUAAAAAAAAAAAAAAGAAAUCCCA
rnacentral:lncRNA from 1 species